CCUGGAAGCCCACGAGGAGCCGGAGCUCUCAGACUUAGUCCGCCUUCCCAUCCCCCAUCUCUGGACAGUGUCGUCUUCGGUCACCCUACGUCUUCCAAUCCACUAUCUCUGGACAGUGUCAUCUUUGGUCAACCUGCGCGUUCACCUUCUUCAUCACCUCGAAGAUCCGGUGUUGGUCCCAACCGGG